rnacentral:rRNA from 1 species
UGGCGAGCGUUGUCCGGAAUUAUUGGGCGUAAAGGGAGCGCAGGCGGGAAGGUAAGUCUCUCUUAAAAGUGCGGGGCUCAACCCCGUGAGGGGAUGGAAACUAUCUUUCUUGAGUGCAGGAGAGGAAAGCGGAAUUCCUAGUGUAGCGGUGAAAUGCGUAGAUAUUAGGAGGAACACCAGUGGCGAAGGCGGCUUUCUGGACUGUAACUGACGCUGAGGCUCGAAAGCGUGGGGAGC